UGUGCAUUUCUGCAGGACCAUGGAUCCUGUGU
rnacentral:piRNA from 1 species